AGAGUUUGAUCCUGGCUCAGAACGAACGCUGGCGGCGUGGAUAAGACAUGCAAGUCGAACGAGAUUUUUUCCUGUAGCAAUACAGGGAAAAGUCUAGUGGCGAACGGGUGCGUAACACGUGGGCAAUCUGCCUUAAAGUGGGGGAUAGCUCGGCGAAAGCCGAAUUAAUACCGCAUGUGAUCAGGGGAGACAUCUUCCCGAAAUCAAAAGUGGCGCAAGCUACUGCUUUUUGAGGAGCCCGCGGCCUAUCAGCUAGUUGGCGAGGUAACGGCUCACCAAGGCUUUGACGGGUAGCUGGUCUGAGAGGACGACCAGUCACACUGGAACUGAGACACGGUCCAGACACCUACGGGUGGCAGCAGUCGAGAAUUUUUCUCAAUGGGGGAAACCCUGAAGGAGCGACGCCGCGUGGAGGAUGAAGGUCUUCGGGUUGUAAACUCCUGUCAUUUGGGAACAAGUGCCGGUACGUAACUGCUACCGGCUUGAUAGUACCAGAAGAGGAAGGGACGGCUAACUCUGUGCCAGCAGCCGCGGUAAUACAGAGGUCUCAAGCGUUGUUCGGAUUCAUUGGGCGUAAAGGGUGUGUAGGUGGCGCCGUAAGUCGGGUGUGAAAUUUCGGAGCUUAACUCCGAAACUGCAUUCGAUACUGCGGUGCUUGAGGACUGGAGAGGAGACUGGAAUUCAUGGUGUAGCAGUGAAAUGCGUAGAGAUCAUGAGGAAGACCAGUGGCGAAGGCGGGUCUCUGGACAGUUCCUGACACUGAGACACGAAGGCCAGGGGAGCAAACGGGAUUAGAUACCCCAGUAGUCC
rnacentral:rRNA from 1 species